UCCGAAGGACCGGGCUGCGUCUCGAGUUGUGCAAGGACCAGCGGAUCGGCGAUCUCGUUGGCAGUUCGUGUAAACAGCAAGUAACCUCCUUUAGUUAACUAGCUCGUUGGCCAUGCGUCGCGUCCAGCAAAUAAUCCGCGUCGCGCUUUUCGCCGCGACGUUGCUCACCGCGCUCGAGGCGUCCAUCGCGGACCCGCGGAUACCCUUGACGUGCAAGAACAUCGCCAGGGACGUGAUCAUGAAUAGCUGCAAGGGAGGAUCGAAGACCAGGCGAUCGCUGGAUCUUAAUGACAUGGAGAAACCACUGCCGAUCGAUGCGUCAGAGUUGCCGCAGGACGAGCCGCACGCGACGCAGAAAAAGCGACAAUGGGGUCUGGGACAAUUGUUGCCUGGCAUGGGCAUGGAAAUGGCGAACAACUAUCAUGAUACGGAGUUGCACACCCCGUUACUUGAUUUCCAAGAUAAUCAGGGCUCCGACUUUAUCCAGGAGCAGUUUGGGCCAGAAUUUGGGCCUGGCGGUUUCUUGCAAAGGCCUUAUGGAUCAUUGGGACCGUACCGCAUGGCGAGGUCUUCUCUGAAUUCUAAUAAACUGUUGGGAUACCAGUUGACUCCAGAGGAACUCGAGGAACUGCACGUGGAGAUUGGCGAACGAAUGCCGAGGAACUCGAAGGAGGUGAACAAGAAGAUUUUCCUGAACGUAGCAGCGAAAUGCUGUCCAGACGCUAAGGUGUGCUACGAAAAUCCGAGCGUCGUUCCGUGCGGAGGAUAUUCAAUCGUAUCCUAAUACGAAAGGAGUGUUUGAGAAUGGAAUGUUUAUCUGAAGUGAAUCGAGAAAAAGAAAUUGGGACUGCAUUUUGACGGAAGGUCGAAUGUGUAAGAAGUAAAACAGUUAAUGAUCUAACGUGUCUUUCUACUGAUUGCCGGCUGAAAAGGCGAAGAUUCUAUCAUUGUCCCUCGUGUACGGCUAUCGUCCCGACACGUUCGUGCCAACGUGACCGGUUAAUAAUUCAAUCUGCCAGAAGAUGCACCGUUCAGGAAUCGGCAUCGCCCAGCGGAACUUGAAAAAAUGGUUCUCCGUAACGAGAAUAUAAACAAGAAGA